rnacentral:tRNA from 1 species
GCCUCAGUAGCUUAAUAUUAAAGCACCGGUUUUGUAAUCCGAAGAUUGGAGGUUAAAUCCCUCCCUGGAGCC